GCCCCGGGCACCGCCCCCGUCCCGCCGGCGCCCCCGCUCCAGUCCCGGACCCCGAGCCAGGCCUGUCCCAAGUCCUCCCGGGCCCGCCAACCCGCGGCCCCUUACCUUGGCCUGGCAUUUCCGAUGACAGGAGAAGCUGCAGACUGCAAGAGGGCGAGACACAGAAAGAAAGUUUUAGCCGCGAGGUAGGCACCCUUGGCAGCGCUUGGCCUACAUGACCAUACAGGGCAGCCCUGCCUGUCACACCGUGGACAGACACUCAGCAAAUGCCCUCAAGUGGGGGGCAAGUGGAGAAAUCAUCAGGCAAUUGCAGUAUGCUAUGCUGAGUGCUUCCUGCACACUGGAAUGCAGAAAGCUUGUCCUUGGCAACUCUACAAAGGGGAGAGAAGGAAGACCACCCCCACCCCAGCUCCCAGCCCAGAAGACAAAAGCUUAGCAAACCGAAAGCAAGUGGCAGAUGCCAAGCAGGACAGGCUUGGCCAAGCCCCCAUGAAUGGAUUUUGACAUCUGCAGAAAUAUCCGCCUCCAACCCCAAGGAGGCCCACUUGCUGAGUCUCCUCCAGGGAAGCCCCCUUUGUAUGCCUGGCCACCUUUCUCGCAUCUCCUCCCAAGGGGCAGAAUGUCCUCCCAACUUGCAUCGCGUCUGCUGUCAUCUCAAGUUUGGACCUGCCAAUCUGCUGGCCUCUCACUCUCAGAAUGAUGAAAUAUUCCAUGUACUACAGAAAAGGAAACUGUGGCAGCCAGCCUCUUGGGUAGCUGCCAGUGUUCUUGCCUCUGCUACUCAUGCCCUUCUGGAGUCACCUCCCACACUAAAUAGUGCUGAUUUAUGUAAUCAAUCAGAUACUAUAGAAAUGACAGUGUGCGACUUCUGAGGCUAAGCUAUAAAAGACACUGACUUCAGCCUUGUCUUGGAUCACUCAUUCUGGGGGAAGCCAGUGACCAUGUGGUAAGACUCCCAAGCAGCCCUACGGAGAGGGCCAUGUGGUGAGGGGCUGAGGCCUCCUGCCAACAGCCAGCCCCAGCUUGACAGCAUUAAGUGAGCCAUGUGGGAAGUGGCUCCUCCAGCCCCAGUCAGACCUUCAGAUGAAUACGGCCCCAGUGACAUCUUGACCGCACCUUCAUAAGACACUCUGAGCCAGAACCACCCAGUCAAGUCACUCAUGAAUUCCUGAGCCAUGGAAGCCAUGUGGAAUAAUAGUUUUGUAUUUCUUUUUUCUUUUUUUGAGACAUGGUCUUGCCCUACUCUGGCCCCAAGGCUGGAGUACAGUGUCAUGAUCUCAGUUUACUGCAGUCUACAUCUACCAGGCUCAAGUGAUCCUCCCAUCUCAGUCUCCUGAGCAGCUGGGACUGUAAGCAUAUGCUACCAUGCCUGGCUAAUUUUUGCAUUUUUUGUAGAGAGGGUGUUUUGCUAUUUGCCCAGGCUGGUCUCAAACUCUUGAGCUCAAGUGAUCCUCCUGCCUGGGCUUCCAAAAGUCCUAGGAUUACAAGAGUGAGCCAUGGUACCCAGCCUGUAUGUGUGUAUGUAUGUAUGCAUGCAUGUAUAUAUGUAUGGUGGUUUCUUUUUUGAGAGAAAUUCUCUCUGUCGCCCAGGCUGGAGUGCAGUGGCAUGAUCUCAGCUCACUGCAACCUCUGCUUCCCAGGUUCAAGCAGUUCUCCUGCCACAGCCUCCUGAGUAGGGACUACAGCACACACUACCAUGCCCAGCUAAUUUUUGUAUUUUUUGUAGAGACAGGGUUUCACCAUGUUGGUCAGGCUGGUCUUGAAUUCCUGACCUCGUGAUCUGCUCGCCUCAACCUCCCGAAGUGCUGGGAUUAUGGGCAUGAGCCACCACGCCUGGCCCGUCUGUAUUUAUUUUAAACCACUAAGCUUGGGAGUAAUUUUUCCAUGCUGUACAAAAUCACUGCAAUAAAAAAAUGUAUGCAGUGAUUUCGAACUGGAUACUGAAAUCAGAGCACAAGACCCAUCAGAACGCAAAAGCCAAAGGCGGCAGAUGCUGGGAACCGAGGCAGAGGCCAUCUCCUGGGUCCUACCUUGCUCCUUGGUGCCUGCACACCCCUCUCUUUAACUCCUUCCUCUUCCCUUCCCCUACCCAGUAGUGAGCCAUUGUGUCCCAGAAAGUAACUCCUAAGAGGCUAAGGUAUUCUGUAGCAGCCUGACUAAGACACCCUCCACCACCACUGCCACCCAGCUUUUCCUCCCCUCAACCACGAAAGGGGAAAAACCCAGGUUCCAACCCUGGGAACAUCAGACACUGCUGGGGAGAAGCCAGUCUGUGAGCAACAGGGAUGCUCACUCCCCAGGGACCAUUUCUCAUCAGAGGGAUGGGGACACGCAGGGAGGAGCAAGAGCAGGAAACUUCAGCCUUCUCCUCUCCUUCAUCCUCCCCAGAUACAUGUGUCAGGAUGGGCCCCACCUGAGCAAACCAUGGCCUCUCAGCUCCUACAGAAGGCCCCACAAUUACAAGCCCACCCAUGAGCCCUCCUGAGCCAAUGUCUGACCGGAGUCCAGCUGGAGCUCCAUGGAGCGCCAGGAGCCCCAUCUCUGCCCACGGUGUCAGCACUGCCCCCGCACAAUAGGGCCCAGUGGUGGCCUGAGAGGGAGCAGAGAGCCCCUUAGUGGGAAGGGACCCUUAGAUUACUCUGCUGGGGUGAAGAACUGCACCCCCAGCCCUUGGCCCCAGCUCCCGCCCCAGCUGGGCUGCCAGUACUCUGUCCUGGGGUUGCUUCCUGCCUCUCAGGAACACAGGAAGCCAACAUUGUUGGGAUCUAAAUGGCCUUUUCCUCCUGGACUUGGGUAGGAAAAUGAGCACAUAGCCUCGGUGUGCACCUGACCCCAGCGAUAACUACUCACAUGCCCGGUCCGGCCUCAGCUCCUUCCCUGGCCAGCACAGAAGCACAAGCCCGGCCGCCCACCUGCUCACUGGCCACUCAGACUGCCCUGCUGGUUCAUCUCCAGGACCAGGGCUGGAGGGUCUCAAUCUGUCACCCAGGCUGGAGUGCAGUGGUGUGCUCACAGCUCACUGCAGCCUCGACCUCCCCAGGCUCAAGUGAUCCUUCCACCUCAGCCUCUGCAGUAGCCAGGACCACAGCCAAAUUCCUCCCGCAGAUGGGCUCUGACGUGGAACCACAGUGAUGCUGGUUAAAAUUCACUAAAUGCUUGCUGUAUGUCAGGCUCUGUCUGGAGCCCAGCCCCUAUACAUAUAUCAUUUCAUUUAAUCCCAUAGUAACCUCAUGAGGGAGGUACUGUUGUUUGUCCCUUCUUAAAGGUAAGGGGCUGGCUCUCAGCACCAAGACCCACCACAGCAUUCGACCCAGAGGACAGCUUAGUUCAUGACUGCCAGCCAGACGGCUGCACAGAGGCACGGAGGAGGCCGUUGUGAGGAUGAAAUGAGAUCAUGGCGCAUGGUGAGGCCUCAGCAGCGGUGAACGGCGAUUCGUGUUGUCUUUUCUGUGGGCAUCAGACUACCCACCAGGCAGACAUGUCAGCGCGCACAUAGCUCCAUGUCCUCUGUGUCCAGCACAAAUCUGAAGAAUCACAUGGGUGAAGCUACUGCCUGGCCUCUGUUUUCUGUAGCAAAAUUAUACCCCAUUCCCAUGGACCUGCCCUCAGAAGAGAGAGAACGUGGGGCCACUCCCAUCACCAGGCAAGACAGCAGGUGACCCAGUGCUGUCAUCUUCUGGCUGAGAAGAUGCUCCUGGUCUCCAAGCACUGGGAACCUCCAAGGAGGGCAGACAGCAACAUUUCCCCAGUGCUUUCCAGGCCACUGCCAAGAGCCUUUCGCUCCUCACUCAGUUUCCUGAGUGAAAUGAGUUCUCUCUCCUCAGACAAAAAUGGAAAAAACGAAAAACAAAACAAAAGAAAAAGAAAUUGGUUCUCUC